CAGGAGACCAGGUGGCUGCCCCAGGAGGGCCUGUCACCUGGGGAUGACAAGUCAGGCCAAGGGAGAGAGGACAACGGCAGUGGGACCCUGAGACAGACAAGACAGGCAUAGACUUUAUGGGCUCCUAUGUGCGGCAUUCCUCAGGCCAAUGUCCUGUUGGAUGAGAAGGGGCAUUACAGGGAGUCAGAUUUCUGCUCUCUGCAAAGAAGGACUUUCUGGCCAGAAUAAAAGGGGAUGCCUGCAGAAGUGGAGGGGGAUAGCACCAACUCAUCACGCCUCGACUGGGACAGUGGACAGCAGGGUGCAGGCUUCUAGAAGGUGGGCGACAGAGCAGACAGGCCUCCACAGGCAUGGCCUUCCCUGCAAGUCUGUGGCUCUGAUUCAUUCAAAUAGUAUUGAGUGAGUAGCAAAAGCAAUGCUUUUUCUUUAGCUUUUUCUCAAGGUGACAAGAAGAGGGGUUUUGACGAGUGGUUUGAGAGGAUGGAUUUAAAAGUUGAACUUUUAAAAAGAUUGUCAUGCAUAGUGGCUUAUGCCUAUAAUCCCAGCAAUU